GACGAACGCUGGCGGCGUGCUUUACACAUGCAAGUCGAACGGUGAAGGUGGAGCUUGCUCCGCCGGAUCAGUGGCGAACGGGUGAGUAACACGUGGGCAACCUGCCCCUAACUUUGGGAUAACUACUCGAAAGAGUAGCUAAUACCGGAUACGAAGUCUGUAGGCAUCUACGGAUUUGGAAAGUUUUUCGGUUAGGGAUGGGCCCGCGGCCUAUCAGCUUGUUGGUGAGGUAGUGGCUCACCAAGGCGACGACGGGUAGCCGGCCUGAGAGGGCGACCGGCCACACUGGGACUGGGACACGGCCCAGACUCCUACGGGGGGCAGCAGUGGGGAAUAUUGCGCAAGGGGCGAAAGCCUGACGCAGCAACGCCGCGUGCGGGAUGAAGGCCUUCGGGUUGUAAACCGCUUUCAGCAGGGAAGAAGCGAAAGUGACGGUUCCUGCAGAAGAAGCACCGGCUAACUACGUGCCAGCAGCCGCAGUAA
rnacentral:rRNA from 1 species